rnacentral:rRNA from 1 species
GAGUAAAUGAAUAUUGUUGGGUUAACAGUUAAAUUUAAUAUUUUUUAUAAUAUAAAAUUUUUAGGUGAAAUUUUAAUUUUAUUUAAUUAAUAAUUAUUGAAGCUGUAAAAUUUAUUUUGAAAACAAGGAUUAGAUACCCUUUUAUUUUAAAUGUAAAUUUAACCUUGGGUAGUAUUAGUUAUGUUCUUGAAACCCAAAGAAUUUGGCGGUAUUUUAUUCUUUUUAGAGGAACCUGUCCYGUAAUUGAUAAUCCACGAUAGGGAAUUACUUAUUUUUGUAUUCAUUUUGUAUACCUCCGUCAUCAGAAUAUCUUUUUAGAGUUAAUAUUCUCAUAUUACAAAAUAUUAUAUGUCAGGUCAAGGUGCAAUUUAUAAAUAAGAGGAGAUGGGUUACAAUAAAGUUAUUUAAACGAAUUAAUAGUAUUAAUAAUUAUUAUGAAGGUGGAUUUAAAAGUAAAUAUAACUCUUUAUUAUAUUGAUUUUAGCUCUGAAAUAUGCACACAUCGCCCGUCGCUCUUAUUUUAAGAUAAGAUAAGUCGUAACAUAGUAGGUGUACUGGAAGGUGUACCUAGAAAGUAAU